AAAACCUUCAACAACGGAUCUCUUGGCUCUGGCAUCGAUGAAGAACGCAGCGAAAUGCGAUAAGUAAUGCGAAUUGCAGAAUUCAGUGAAUCAUCGAAUCUUUGAACGCACAUUGCGCCCGCCAAGAACUCUGGCGGGCAUGCCUGUUCGAGCGUCAU
rnacentral:rRNA from 1 species